rnacentral:rRNA from 1 species
AGUGAACGCUGGCGGUAGGCCUAACACAUGCAAGUCGAACGGCAGCACAGUAAGAGCUUGCUCUUACGGGUGGCGAGUGGCGGACGGGUGAGGAAUACAUCGGAAUCUACUUUUUCGUGGGGGAUAACGUAGGGAAACUUACGCUAAUACCGCAUACGACCUACGGGUGAAAGCAGGGGAUCUUCGGACCUUGCGCGAUUGAAUGAGCCGAUGUCGGAUUAGCUAGUUGGCGGGGUAAAGGCCCACCAAGGCGACGAUCCGUAGCUGGUCUGAGAGGAUGAUCAGCCACACUGGAACUGAGACACGGUCCAGACUCCUACGGGAGGCAACAGUGGGGAAUAUUGGACAAUGGGCGCAAGCCUGAUCCAGCCAUACCGCGUGGGUGAAGAAGGCCUUCGGGUUGUAAAGCCCUUUUGUUGGGAAAGAAAAGCAGCAGGUUAAGACCCCGCUGUUCUGACGGUACCCAAAGAAUAAGCACCGGCGAACUUCGU